GUGAGGAAUUUUCCGCAAUGGGCGAAAGCCUGACGGAGCAAUGCCGCGUGGAGGAGGAAGGCCUGUGGGUCGUAAACUCCUUUUCUCAGAGAAGAAGUUCUGACGGUAUCUGAGGAAUAAGCAUCGGCUAACUCUGUGCCAGCAGCCGCGGUAAUACAGGGGAUGCAAGCGUUAUCCGGAAUUAUUGGGCGUAAAGCGUCCUGAGGUGGCUUACCCAGUCGACUGUGAAAGCUCAAGGCUUAACCUUGAAACGGCAGUCGAAACUUGUAAGCUUGAGUACGGUAGGGGCAGAGGGAAUUCCCGGAGGAGAGGUGAAAUUCGUAGAUAUCGGGAGGAAGGCCAAAGGCGAAAGCACUCUGCUGGGCCGAUUACUGACACUGACAGACGAAAGCUAGGGGAGCGAAAGGGAUUAGAAACCCGAGUAGUCC
rnacentral:rRNA from 1 species